GCUUGCUUCCCCGGGCGUCGACCGGCGCACGGGUGAGUAACGCGUAUCCAACCUGCCUCUGACUGAGGGAUAACCCGUCGAAAGUCGGCCUAAUACCUCAUGGCAUCGUCUGCGGGCAUCCAACGACGAUUAAAGAUUUCAUCGGUCAGGGAUGGGGAUGCGUCUGAUUAGCUAGUUGGCGGGGUAACGGCCCACCAAGGCUACGAUCAGUAGGGGUUCUGAGAGGAAGGUCCCCCACAUUGGAACUGAGACACGGUCCAAACUCCUACGGGAGGCAGCAGUGAGGAAUAUUGGUCAAUGGGCGAGAGCCUGAACCAGCCAAGUAGCGUGCAGGAAGACGGCCCUAUGGGUUGUAAACUGCUUUUAUGCGGGGAUAAAGUGAGGGACGUGUCCUUCAUUGCAGGUACCGCAUGAAUAAGGACCGGCUAAUUCCGUGCCAGCAGCCGCGGUAAUACGGAAGGUCCGGGCGUUAUCCGGAUUUAUUGGGUUUAAAGGGAGCGUAGGCCGUGGAUUAAGCGUGUUGUGAAAUGCAGGUGCUCAACGUCUGCACUGCAGCGCGAACUGGUCCACUAGAGUGUGCACAACGCAGGCGGAAUUCGUCGUGUAGCGGUGAAAUGCUUAGAUAUGACGAAGAACUCCGAUUGCG
rnacentral:rRNA from 1 species